rnacentral:rRNA from 1 species
GGUUAAGCGACUAAGCGUACACGGUGGAUGCCCUGGCAGUCAGAGGCGAUGAAGGACGUGCUAAUCUGCGAUAAGCGUCGGUAAGGUGAUAUGAACCGUUAUAACCGGCGAUUUCCGAAUGGGGAAACCCAGUGUGUUUCGACACACUAUCAUUAACUGAAUCCAUAGGUUAAUGAGGCGAACCGGGGGAACUGAAACAUCUAAGUACCCCGAGGAAAAGAAAUCAACCGAGAUUCCCCCAGUAGCGGCGAGCGAACGGGGAGCAGCCCAGAGCCUGAAUCAGUGUGUGUGUUAGUGGAAGCGUCUGGAAAGGCGCGCGAUACAGGGUGACAGCCCCGUACACAAAAAUGCACAUGCUGUGAGCUCGAUGAGUAGGGCGGGACACGUGGUAUCCUGUCUGAAUAUGGGGGGACCAUCCUCCAAGGCUAAAUACUCCUGACUGACCGAUAGUGAACCAGUACCGUGAGGGAAAGGCGAAAAGAACCCCGGCGAGGGGAGUGAAAAAGAACCUGAAACCGUGUACGUACAAGCAGUGGGAGCACGCUUAGGCGUGUGACUGCGUACCUUUUGUAUAAUGGGUCAGCGACUUAUAUUCUGUAGCAAGGUUAACCGAAUAGGGGAGCCGAAGGGAAACCGAGUCUUAACUGGGCGUUAAGUUGCAGGGUAUAGACCCGAAACCCGGUGAUCUAGCCAUGGGCAGGUUGAAGGUUGGGUAACACUAACUGGAGGACCGAACCGACUAAUGUUGAAAAAUUAGCGGAUGACUUGUGGCUGGGGGUGAAAGGCCAAUCAAACCGGGAGAUAGCUGGUUCUCCCCGAAAGCUAUUUAGGUAGCGCCUCGUGAACUCAUCUCCGGGGGUAGAGCACUGUUUCGGCAAGGGGGUCAUCCCGACUUACCAACCCGAUGCAAACUGCGAAUACCGGAGAAUGUUAUCACGGGAGACACACGGCGGGUGCUAACGUCCGUCGUGAAGAGGGAAACAACCCAGACCGCCAGCUAAGGUCCCAAAGUCAUGGUUAAGUGGGAAACGAUGUGGGAAGGCCCAGACAGCCAGGAUGUUGGCUUAGAAGCAGCCAUCAUUUAAAGAAAGCGUAAUAGCUCACUGGUCGAGUCGGCCUGCGCGGAAGAUGUAACGGGGCUAAACCAUGCACCGAAGCUGCGGCAGCGACGCUUAUGCGUUGUUGGGUAGGGGAGCGUUCUGUAAGCCUGUGAAGGUGUGCUGUGAGGCAUGCUGGAGGUAUCAGAAGUGCGAAUGCUGACAUAAGUAACGAUAAAGCGGGUGAAAAGCCCGCUCGCCGGAAGACCAAGGGUUCCUGUCCAACGUUAAUCGGGGCAGGGUGAGUCGACCCCUAAGGCGAGGCCGAAAGGCGUAGUCGAUGGGAAACAGGUUAAUAUUCCUGUACUUGGUGUUACUGCGAAGGGGGGACGGAGAAGGCUAUGUUGGCCGGGCGACGGUUGUCCCGGUUUAAGCGUGUAGGCUGGUUUUCCAGGCAAAUCCGGAAAAUCAAGGCUGAGGCGUGAUGACGAGGCACUACGGUGCUGAAGCAACAAAUGCCCUGCUUCCAGGAAAAGCCUCUAAGCAUCAGGUAACAUCAAAUCGUACCCCAAACCGACACAGGUGGUCAGGUAGAGAAUACCAAGGCGCUUGAGAGAACUCGGGUGAAGGAACUAGGCAAAAUGGUGCCGUAACUUCGGGAGAAGGCACGCUGAUAUGUAGGUGAAGUCCCUCGCGGAUGGAGCUGAAAUCAGUCGAAGAUACCAGCUGGCUGCAACUGUUUAUUAAAAACACAGCACUGUGCAAACACGAAAGUGGACGUAUACGGUGUGACGCCUGCCCGGUGCCGGAAGGUUAAUUGAUGGGGUUAGCGCAAGCGAAGCUCUUGAUCGAAGCCCCGGUAAACGGCGGCCGUAACUAUAACGGUCCUAAGGUAGCGAAAUUCCUUGUCGGGUAAGUUCCGACCUGCACGAAUGGCGUAAUGAUGGCCAGGCUGUCUCCACCCGAGACUCAGUGAAAUUGAACUCGCUGUGAAGAUGCAGUGUACCCGCGGCAAGACGGAAAGACCCCGUGAACCUUUACUAUAGCUUGACACUGAACAUUGAGCCUUGAUGUGUAGGAUAGGUGGGAGGCUUUGAAGUGUGGACGCCAGUCUGCAUGGAGCCGACCUUGAAAUACCACCCUUUAAUGUUUGAUGUUCUAACGUUGACCCGUAAUCCGGGUUGCGGACAGUGUCUGGUGGGUAGUUUGACUGGGGCGGUCUCCUCCUAAAGAGUAACGGAGGAGCACGAAGGUUGGCUAAUCCUGGUCGGACAUCAGGAGGUUAGUGCAAUGGCAUAAGCCAGCUUGACUGCGAGCGUGACGGCGCGAGCAGGUGCGAAAGCAGGUCAUAGUGAUCCGGUGGUUCUGAAUGGAAGGGCCAUCGCUCAACGGAUAAAAGGUACUCCGGGGAUAACAGGCUGAUACCGCCCAAGAGUUCAUAUCGACGGCGGUGUUUGGCACCUCGAUGUCGGCUCAUCACAUCCUGGGGCUGAAGUAGGUCCCAAGGGUAUGGCUGUUCGCCAUUUAAAGUGGUACGCGAGCUGGGUUUAGAACGUCGUGAGACAGUUCGGUCCCUAUCUGCCGUGGGCGCUGGAGAACUGAGGGGGGCUGCUCCUAGUACGAGAGGACCGGAGUGGACGCAUCACUGGUGUUCGGGUUGUCAUGCCAAUGGCACUGCCCGGUAGCUAAAUGCGGAAGAGAUAAGUGCUGAAAGCAUCUAAGCACGAAACUUGCCCCGAGAUGAGUUCUCCCUGACUCCUUGAGAGUCCUGAAGGAACGUUGAAGACGACGACGUUGAUAGGCCGGGUGUGUAAGCGCAGCGAUGCGUUGAGCUAACCGGUACUAAUGAACCGUGAGGCUUAACCUU